UCCCGGUUAACCCGGGCAGUCUCAUUAGAGUUCCCACCUUAAAUGUUGGCAACUAAUGAUAAGGGUUGCGCUCGUUGCGGGACUUAACCCAACACCUCACGGCACGAGCUGACGACAGCCAUGCAGCACCUGUGCAGCAGUCCCGAAGGAAGAUUCUAUUUCUAGAACUGUCUACUGCAUGUCAAGUCUGGGUAAGGUUCUUCGCGUUGCAUCGAAUUAAACCACAUGCUCCACUGCUUGUGCGGGUCCCCGUCAAUUCUUUUGAGUUUCACCCUUGCGAGCGUACUCCUCAGGCGGUAUACUUAUCGCGUUAGCUACGACACAACCAGGUUUGAGUCCGGUUACAUCAAGUAUACAUCGUUUACGGCAAGGACUAC
rnacentral:misc_RNA from 1 species